rnacentral:rRNA from 1 species
CUAGACCUGAAAUCAGUCGAGGUUACCCGCUGAAUUUAAGCAUAUUACUAAGCGGAGGAAAAGAAAAUAACUAUGAUUCCCUCAGUAACGGCGAGUGAAGCGGGAUGAGCUCAAAGUGAAAAUCGCUGUUUCUUUUGAAACCGCGAAUUGUAGCCUCUAGAGGCGUUGCCAGUGGAGAAGCAGGUCUAAGUUUCUUGGAACAGAACUUUCAGAGAGG